rnacentral:rRNA from 1 species
AUUGAACGCUGGCGGCAUGCUUUACACAUGCAAGUCGAACGGCAGCGCGAGCUUCGGCCUGGCGGCGAGUGGCGAACGGGUGAGUAAUGCAUCGGAACGUGCCCAGUAGUGGGGGAUAGCCCGGCGAAAGCCGGAUUAAUACCGCAUACGACCUGAGGGUGAAAGCGGGGGACCGAAAGGCCUCGCGCUAUUGGAGCGGCCGAUGUCGGAUUAGCUAGUUGGUGGGGUAAAGGCUUACCAAGGCGACGAUCCGUAGCUGGUCUGAGAGGACGACCAGCCACACUGGGACUGAGACACGGCCCAGACUCCUACGGGAGGCAGCAGUGGGGAAUUUUGGACAAUGGGGGCAACCCUGAUCCAGCCAUGCCGCGUGCGGGAAGAAGGCCUUCGGGUUGUAAACCGCUUUUGUUCGGGAAGAAAUCCUCUGGGCUAAUACCCCGGGGGGAUGACGGUACCGGAAGAAUAAGCACCGGCUAACUACGUG